rnacentral:rRNA from 1 species
UACGGAGGAAGCUAGCGUUAUUCGGAAUUAUUGGGCGUAAAGGGCGCGUAGGCGGCCGGGCAAGUGGAAGGUGAAAUCCCUGGGCUUAACCGAGGAACUGCCCUCCAAACUGCUUGGCUUGAGUCCGGGAGAGGUGAGUGGAAUUCCCAGUGUAGCGGUGAAAUGCGUAGAUAUUGGGAGGAACACCAGUGGCGAAGGCGGCUCACUGGACCGGAACUGACGCUGAGGCGCGAAAGCGUGGGGAGCAAACGGG